rnacentral:rRNA from 1 species
GCAAGUCGAGCGCACUGGCCCAACUGAUAUGACGUGCUUGCACUGAUUUGACGUUGGAUUCCCAGUGAGCGGCGGACGGGUGAGUAACACGUGGGCAACCUGCCCUGAAGCGGGGGAUAACAUCUGGAAACAGGUGCUAAUACCCCAUAUGAUGUGAUGCUGCAUGGCAUCGCAUUGAAAGAUUCAUCGGUGGCGGAUAGGCUCGCGGGACAUUAGCUAGACGGCGGGGCAACGGCCCACCGUGGCGACGAUGUCUAGGGGUUCUGAGAGGAAGACCCCCCACACUGGAACUGAGACACGGUCCAGACUCCUACGGGAGGCAGCAGUGGGGAAUCUUCCGCAAUGGGCGAAAGCCUGACGGAGCAACGCCGCGUGAGUGAAGAAGGCCUUCGGGUCGUAAAGCUCUGUUGUCGGGGACGAAUGUAGUUACCAUCAACAACCGUAACUAAUGACGGUACCUGACGAGGAAGCCACGGCUAACUACGUG